CGUGGGUGUUUCAUUCCUCAUCCUUAAACAAACCUUAUUCAGGGACCUUUUGAACAGGACAGGUUACUUGGCCUGAAGAAAAAAUUCUCACAGGACCCCACCUGCAAGGUCAUGUGCUGUUUAUAUUGAUAUGAGAGGCGUAAUGGUAAUA